UACGUAGGGACCAAGCGUUGUUCGGAUUUACUGGGCGUAAAGGGCGCGUAGGCGGCAAUUCAAGUCAUCUGUGAAAUCUCCGGGCUUAACCCGGAACGGUCAGAUGAUACUGCUUUGCUAGAGUGCGGAAGGGGCAAUCGGAAUUCUUGGUGUAGCGGUGAAAUGCGUAGAUAUCGGGAGGAACACCGGUGGCGAAGGCGGCCCCCUGGUUGGAUACUGACGCUGAGACGCGAAAGCGUGGGGAGCAAACAGG
rnacentral:rRNA from 1 species